rnacentral:rRNA from 1 species
AUGCUAGCACGAACAUCGCCCGGGGAUACAUGUUUCCCCACGGACGUGCUGGUGGAGAUUCUGUUGCGGCUCCCGCCGAGCGCGAGGCGCCGAGCCCGCCUCGUCUGCAGGCUCUGGCGCGACGUCGUCGACGAGCGCACCACGGAGAUGCAGAGCCGUGCCACGGUCCUCCUUUGGCACGCCGCCUCCACCAUCGCCUACGUUGUCGACGACCUCUCGUCAUCCUCGACGGGGAGCUAUAGCCUGCUGUGGAGCGGUCGCCAGCAGCUGGUCGGCACGUGCAACGGCCUGCUAUGCCUCUGCGACGACGGCGGGGACAUCACCCUGGUCAACCCAGCAACAAGAGAGACGCUGCCCGUCCCACGGCGGCCGCCAUGCGCCGGCCAAAUAUUCGGCGAGGACAGGAGGUGGCACAGGGAAUACAACUUCGCGUACCAUCCCACAACAGGGCGGUACAAGGUGGUGCACGUCCCGUGCAGCUUCAACCGGGUCCGCGACGCGGUGCACGUGCUCACGCUUGGGGAUGAGGCGUGGCGAGAGGUGCCAGCCCCCGGUAACAAGAGGUGCAACCUCGACGGCGGCAUUGUCAGUGUGGACGGCGUGACAUAUUGGGUCACCGACGGCGGCGGCACCGCGAGGAUCAUCUCUUUCGACCUCGACAGCGAGCACAUCGCCGUCUCCGCCACAUCUCUGCCGUUUCUGCCUGCGAGGCACAACGACUACAGCCUGACCGAGGUGCACGGGAGGCUGGGAGUCAUCGUCAGCAACCCGGCGGGGAUGAUGCAAGCGUGGGUUCGGAACAAGGAGGGGAGGUGGAUCUGCCGGUACACCCUCGCAUGUCCCAUGCACGAGAUUCCAAGGCCGCACUUCGCAUACGGCGAACACUUUUUGAAGUGCGAGGGGCAGUUGUUGUAUGCAUACCCGCGGCAAGGCGCAUUAUCGCCGUUCGGCUCAAGGCUUGCGUCCAACAUCGUGCAGGUCAAUCACAGGGAUAGGGGAGUGUUGGUCGCUAAGAUGAAUGGUGUGGGCUGGAGAUUUAACUACCGAACGUUUGCUCACGUCAAGACAUUGGAGCCCUUAGGUAUUUAUAUGCGGCCGCAAAAAUGUGCUAGUAUUUGUUGA